rnacentral:lncRNA from 10 species
GGGCGCACGGAGGAGCACGCCGGCUACGCGCUCGCCCACGCCCGGCCGCCCGCCCGUCCUCUGCGCCGGGGACAAGUCCUUCCACCGAGGCCGGGUCCCCGCGCCUUCCCUAGCGCCCUGCCUCUCUUUGGCCGCGCUCGCAGGACCGCCUGUAGGAGAGUGAAGCCCCAGGGUUUCCUUGCUGAUGGAGUCCCCCACCUUCCCCAGCCUUCCUGUUCCCGGGCUGGUUACGGCGGCGAAGGGAGACCUUGCCUCUCCCCAGCCUUGGAAGCAGAGGGCUGGAGGUGGCCUUAUGUCCACUGCCUGCGACUCUGGACUUGAAGGGAAGAAGUAAUCGAUCAUGAUGACCGUGAAAGAAACACGUCUCCCUUCAUCCCAGGACCCCUGGUGGACACUGGGUGGUUUAGCAUCCGGACUAUGGAGAUGCUUUGGAGGUGUUGGCAGGACUACGGUUGAGCCCUUAUUUGAUAUUUACCGAUUGAGAAAGAACCAAGAUUAAGAGGCCUGGAACUCAUCAGGGGUAUUUUAUUUAUCCUGCCUUUUCCUCAUUUCCUCUCCUGCUGUCAUGCUUGUUUAUUGAGCACCUACUGUUUAUGGGAAGAAAAGAUAAUAGACAAGAUACUUGACCUCAAACCCAUGAAAAUUUAAUAGUUACAUGUCAUCAUCCUCGGGCCAGCAGCGGUAUGUGUUCUGGUCUUGCUUCCUGGACCACCCAGAAGAGACUUUAUAGCCCCAGCCAUCAGGGGUAUAGUGUGUGCCCAGUGUGUUUUCUAUCCCUGGCUUCCAAAAAGUCCUGGAAGAAAGAAUAGGUGUGACCAGAAAGUCCUUCACCUCCGGAAUCUAAGUGGAUAUGGGAGAAAUGUGGACAUGAGAGGGGCACAGAGGAAGACUACCUGAAGACACACAGAGAGAAGGUGACCACGUGGUUGGAGUGGAGCAUCUACAAACCAACACACAUACCAAGGAUUGCUGGCAAGUAUCACCAGAAGCUAGAAGAGGCAAGAAAGGAUUCUCCCCAAAGCUGUCAGCAAAAACACAGCACUGAUGGUACCUUGAUUUCAGACUUUUAGCCCCGAAACUGUGAGAGAGUAAAUUUCUGUUGUUUUAGGUGACCUGUUUUUUGGAAUUUGUUAUGUCAACUGUAGGAAAUGGAUAUUGUACAACGAUUGGGGCAU